CCGUUAAUCGCUUUAUUUGGAUAAACCAAACAGAGGCACUGAAAGGGACAAGCAAGAGGCAGGGGCGAAAGACAAGCAAGGAGGUUGUAAGCCGGGGAGUCAGUCCUACAGGAAAACACGGGACAAGAUCACACGGGGUAGCGGGAACAGGACGAGCCGGAGCAGGCAGGGUAGACGAGUCAGGAGCGGGGACGGGUCUGGAACGGGAGAGAGAGAGGCACGUUACGCGCAACGAGCCGCAGCUGGUGGUAUUCGCCUGUAUGGGCGUGACAUUACGUCUGCAAGUUGACAUCUGGAGAAUGGGAACUUUGCACAGUCAACCAUGGAGGAAUGUCAAGUGGAAAGAAAGG